rnacentral:tRNA from 1 species
GCCCGGCUGGCUCAGUUGCUAGAGGGUGAGACUCUUGAUCUCACGGUGGUGAGUUUGAGCCCCACGUUGGGCG